GCAGGCCCUGCUUAUACAGGUUAGGUUCUAGGGUACUGCUGUACAGGCAAGCCCUGCUUAUACAAGUUAGGUUCCAGGCCACUGCUGUACAGGAAGGCCCUGCUUAUACAGGUUAGGUUCUAGGGUACUGCUGUACAGGCAGGCCCUGCUUGUACAGGUUAGGUUCUAGGGUACUGCUGUACAGGCAGCCCUGCUUAUACAGGUUAGGUUCCAGGCCACUGCUGUACAGGAGGGCCCUGCUUAUACAGGUUAGGUUCCAGGCCACUGCUGUACAGGAGGGCCCUGCUUAUACAGGUUAGGUUCCAGGCCACUGCUGUACAGGAAGGCCCUGCUUAUACAGGUUAGGUUCCAGGCCACUGCUGUACAGGAAGGCCCUGCUUAUACAGGUUAGGUUCCAGGCCACUGCUGUACAGGAAGGCCCUGCUUAUACAGGUUAGGUUCCAGGCCACUGCUGUACAGGAAGGCCCUGCUUAUACAGGUUAGGUUCCAGGCCACUGCUGUACAGGAGGGCCCUGCUUAUACAGGUUAGGUUCCAGGCCACUGCUGUACAGGAAGGCCCUGCUUAUACAGGUUAGGUUCCAGGCCACUGCUGUACAGGAAGGCCCUGCUUAUACAGGUUAGGUUCCAGGCCACUGCUGUACAGGAGGGCCCUGCUUAUACAGGUUAGGUUCCAGGCCACUGCUGUACAGGAGGGCCCUGCUUAUACAGGUUAGGUUCCAGGCACUGCUGUACAGGAAGGCCCUGCUUAUACAGGUUAGGUUCCAGGCCACUGCUGUACAGGAAGGCCCUGCUUAUACAGGUUAGGUUCCAGGCCACUGCUGUACAGGAAGGCCCUGCUUAUACAGGUUAGGUUCCAGGCCACUGCUGUACAGGAAGGUACUGUUUAUACAGCAGGUUAGGUUGUGGGUUAUUGCUGUAAAGUGAAAUGCAGCGCUGUAUAGUCCUUGUGGCUUAGCAGUUCUUUUUGAUUAUAAUAAUAAUGUAAAGUGAAACAUAGCUUUUUUUUCCACUUUGAAAUGAAUAUAAAUGCCUGAUAUGUUUACAGUAUCAUAUAUAAAGUGAGCAAUAGAAGUAGGCCUAAAAAAUGAACAGAGUACACUACUUACAUUAAAAUAUUUUCAUCCUUAGCUUAAAAUGAAUGGUGAAUAAAUUUAUUGUAAGAAAGUUUGAGUAAAUGAAAUUGAAAACCACUGCAUUAGCGAAGUACCAUAAAGUGAAAAUUUGUAAACCAAAGUGCUGUAAAGCUGGACCUGCCUGUAACAGCAGCAGCAGCAGCAGCAGCAGAGUUUGCUUAGUGAAUUAUGCUCUUUGAACCUAGUUGCAGAAGCUGCUAACUUGGAAAGCACAUGCUGGUGCUGGUUAGGUCAGCACCAACAAUAUAGGAAGCUAAGAUUUACACCAGAGUUACUUACACAUUAACAAACCACAGUCUUAUUUUUAGUGAUGUCGUAAAACUGCAGGCUAGUGCAUAAGCCACUCUGCCAGCUGGCUACAAUAAUAUUCAUCCAACUAGGUACAUGUUCAUUUUUAUGACUCAGUCGCCACUGGUUUAAAUGUCACCCAUUCCAUGUCUUGUUUGCAGUCUUUUUGUUAUGAUUUCAUGAGGCAUGGUUACUAAAUAUUAAUUGUUUGCAGGUACCAUUCUCCUUGUAUAUGAGCAUUGAGUAGUAGCCUCAUGUGGGCGAAGGAACAGCACCUGGGAGUGUUAGCUGCCUCUCUGAUUAUGGACAGACCCCACAGCAGGUCGACGGCAAUGUCUGGGCGAGUCUUUGGCCAGGAUGGAGCUGUUUAUCUUCUCAGCAGCAUUGCUCCAGAACUUCACCUUCUCUCCAGCACCCUCAAAAGAGAUUAACUUGUCUCCUGAACAUCUUCCAUUCGCACAGUUUUCAAAACUUCAAGAUAUUGUCAUUACUAUCAGGAAGUAGUGGUGUACUAAAGUUAGUUUGAUAUCUUUGCUAUAUAUCCUGUUGAUGGUAAUCACAUUUUAAUUUCAAGGCUGCCCACAGUGUUUCUGUAGAGUAGCAGUAUAUGUCAGUCACCCUAAUUGUCUAAUAUACACCAAGUCCUUGACUUACAAACACAUUGAGAAUCUUCUAUAUUGUGUAUAUCUUUAUUAUAUCAUUAUUGUGUAUAAUAUCAUUAUUAUAUAUUCUUUCUUUCAACAAACCAGCCAUAUCCCACUGAGGCUGGGUGGCCCUGAAAGAAAAAUGACUCUAGUAAUGUACGUAUAUGGGAGAAGGUGUUACUAGCCCCUUGCAUAAAUAACAAAAAAAGGCACAAUACCGUGACUGGAAUGAUCCACUUUGUAAAUGGUCCAGGUGAGACUGAAACAUUGCCGUAAGCUCCUCUCUUCUACGUGCGGAUUAUUUGUGUAUAGUCUCUUGCUCCUGGCAUUUUAGUCGCCUCUUAUGACAUGCAUGGCUUAUGGAGGAAGAAUUCUGUCCCACUUCCUCAUGGAGAGUUUCGAACAUAUCCUAAAAAUAUCAGACAAUGUUUGUAGUAUUUCUCCAUGGGGAGGUGGAAAAGAAUCCUUUCUCCACUAGCCAUGCAUGUCAUAAGAGGCGACUAAAAUGCAGGGAGCAAGGGGUUAGUAACCCCUUCUCCUGCAUAUGUUACUAAAUAUGAAAAGAAAAAACUGUUUCUUCAUUUUCAGGUCACCCUACCCGGGUGGUCACUCUGCCUGGGUGGUCACCCUGCCCAGGUGGUCACCCUGCCCGGGUGGUCACUCUGCCUGGGUGGUCACCCUGCCCAGGUGGUCACCCUACCCGGGUGGUCACCCUGCCCAGGUGGUCACCCUGCCCGGGUGGUCACUCUGCCUGGGUGGUCACCCUGCCCAGGUGGUCACCCUGCCCGGGUGGUCACCCUGCCCAGGUGGUCACUCUGCCUGGGUGGUCACCCUGCCCAGGUGGUCACCCUGCCCGGGUGGUCACUCUGCCUGGGUGGUCACCCUGCCCAGGUGGUCACCCUGCCCGGGUGGUCACCCUGCCCAGGUGGUCACUCUGCCCGGGUGGUCACCCUGCCUGGGUGGUCAUCCUGCCUGGUAUAACGAGAUUAUUUGGUGAUGCUGCAACGGAGUGGGGUUCAAUGAUAAACGUCCUCGGAGGCUUCUUGCUUUAUUUGCAUGGUCGUGGUGGGUACACAGGCUUGUGUGUUGUGCCCAUGGUCCAGGAGGGUCAUGCCCACUAGGGAGAGAGUAGACUUGUUGACUGCUUCUAGGCCUCUAAGUGAAUGGGCGAGUGCGAGUGGGACCAGCGUCCCACUGACCUGGGCAGGCCUAGAGAGGGCAGCACCUUAG